UGUGGGAGCGAGCCUGCUCGCGAUGGCGGCAUGUCAGUCACAUCUCUACUGGCUGAUCCACUGCCAUCGCGAGCAGGCUCGCUCCCACA
rnacentral:misc_RNA from 1 species